AAGAGCUCAAAUAAUUUAAAUAGAUAUAAGCCCAAAUUAAUUAGAUAAAUUAAGUCUAUCAUGUUUUUCUUUGAAUAAGGCCCAAACAAUUUAAUUAAAUCGGCCCAAGAGUUUAAUUAAAUCGGCCCAAGAGUUUAAUUAAAUCGGCCCAAGAGGGAGCCCAAUAUUUUCGGCCCAAACCCGGCUCAAACCCGGCCCAAACCCGGCUGAAACCCGGCCCAAACCCGGCUCCCUUUUCUAACCUAAAUAUACACACACAAACACCUCCCAACACACACACAAGCUUAUCUCUCUCUAACUCUAUCUCUCGGCUCUCUCUCUCCCUACUCUCUCUGCUCUCUCUCUUUACUCUCUCUGCUCUCUCUCUUCGAUCUGCCGCCGCCGCUGCCGUUCAACGGCGCCGUCGCCGCCGGCGAGCGGCGCGGCCUCUCCUCCUCUCUCCCUGAACUCUUCCCCCCCUCUUCUCCUCUAUCUCUCUCUCUCAAUCUCGGCCGCUGGAAAGGCACAGCAGCGCAACCACGCCGCCGCUCCGUCGCCUCCGCCUCUCCUCCAUGGCAGAUCCGCCGCCGCUGCAACUGGAUCUCGGCGAGCACCGUCGACUGGAAGCCGCUGGAGCUGCUGCUGCUUCGCCGGGAGUCGAGCUGUCGCCGCCUGGAGCUGCUGCUGCUCGCCCGGAGUCGCCGCUGGCUGGCCUGCGAUCGACGGCCAGCAGCUCGCUGGAGGAGCGCCGCCGUCAGCCGCUGCCGUUGGCAGCAAGAAUCCGGCAGCCGCCUCUCCUGGAGUCGCCGUCGCCGUGAGUCGCUGUGAGGAGCCGAGCACCGUCUCACAAAGAUCGGAGACAACGGCAGGUUCACCGCCGCCGCUCCGUCGCCGGCGACGAGCCACCGCGGCUGCCGCCUCCCUCUGAUUUCGACUCACACACACAGUAGGUUCAAGCCACAAUUUAGUUCACAAAAUAGCAUAGGAUUUUGAGCAGAAAUCAAAUACUGUAAAUGCUUA